rnacentral:rRNA from 1 species
UACAGAGGUCUCAAGCGUUGUUCGGAUUCACUGGGCGUAAAGGGUGCGUAGGUGGUGGGGAAAGUUCGAUGUGAAAGCUCCGAGCUUAACUCGGAAAUGGCAUUGAAAACUACCCUGCUUGAGGGUUGGAGGGGGGACUGGAAUUCUCGGUGUAGCAGUGAAAUGCGUAGAUAUCGAGAGGAACACCAGUGGCGAAGGCGAGUCCCUGGACAACUCCUGACACUGAGGCACGAAAGCUAGGGGAGCAAACAGG